rnacentral:sRNA from 1 species
CAGCCAUUCCAGAACAAACUACUCAUUCAGUGCGCAUCAGUUGUUUAGAAUAAUAACAAGAUGGAGGCCGCCGGACAGGUUACAUCUGGAGUCAAUAUUGGAGUUUUUAAAGAGCCUAGAGGGUUCAUCAAAGUCUUGGAAUUUCCUGAUAACUUUGGCACUGUCAACUCAAAGUACUAACUACAUUACCCAUUGAGCCAGAAUGCAUUGUAUAAUUGUGAAAUGAUUUAUUGGUAAUAGCAAUAGAUGUAGAGAUCUAGACUUCUGAUUUAGAUCUCUUAAGAUCUAGUCUAGAUCUAU